rnacentral:rRNA from 1 species
GCUGGUCGCCGGCUUCUUAGAGGGACUGCGGUUGCGUCUAGCCCGCGGAAGUUUGAGGCAUUAACAGGUGUGUUAUGCCCUUAAAUGUUCUGGGCCGCACGCGCGCUACACUGACAGAGCCAGCGAGCUUUUCACCUUGGCCGGAAGGUCUGGGUAAUCUUGUGAAACUCUGUCGUGCUGGGGAUAGAGCAUUGCAAUUAUUGCUCUUCAACGAGGAAUUCCUAGUAAGCGUGAGUCAUCAGCUCGCGUUGAUUACGUCCCUGCCCUUUGUACACACCGCCCGUCGCUACUACCGAUUGAAUGGCUUAGUGAGGUCUUCAGAUUGGCUUCGGAGAGACGGAAACGUCUCACUGUUGCUGAGAAGUUGAUCAAACUUGGUCAUUUAGAGGAAGUAAAAGUCGUAACAAGGUUUCCGUAGGUGAACCUGCGGAAGGAUCAUUACCGAACUGUAAACACGAGUUGUUGCUGGUCCUCAAAUCGAGGGCAUGUGCACGCUCUGUUCACACAUCCACUCACACCUGUGCACCCACUGUAGUUCUAUGGCGUGGGGGACUCUGUCCUCCUGCUGCGGUUCUGCAUCUUUACAACACACAAUGUAAUAGUCUCAUGGAAUGUACACCGCGUUUAACGCAAUACAAUACAACUUUCAGCAACGGAUCUCUUGGCUCUCGCAUCGAUGAAGAACGCAGCGAAAUGCGAUAAGUAAUGUGAAUUGCAAAAUUCAGUGAAUCAUCAAAUCUUUGAACCCACCUUGCGCCCUUUGGCUAUUCCGAAGGGCAUGCCUGUUUGAGUAUCAUGAACACCUCAACUCUCAUGGUUCGCCAUGAUGAGCUUGGACUCUGGGGGUUUUGCUGGCCUAUGGUCGGCUCUCCUCAAAUAAAUCAGCUUGCCAGUGUUUUGGUGGCAUCGCAGGUGUGAUAACUAUCUACGCUUGUGGACUCCGGGGAGGCAACCUUCAGUGAUGAAGGUUCGCUGGAGCUUAUAAAU